rfam:Struthio camelus australis contig69362, whole genome shotgun sequence.
UAUCUUUGACCCAUUAUUAGAAACUCAAAAAACAAGCAUAUUUUCAAAUGGUGCUCUGCACAGCCAGUGAUGCGUCUGCAUUUGAGGCCAUUAUUCUUCACAAAAUGUGAUAAUAAUGUUAUCUGUUGACAUAAAAACAAAGCUUGACUCCACAGAAGCAGCUGGAAAUAGAUAACCACAAUAAGCUUAAAUAUGUUAAGAACACACAGUUUGACGUAUACUGCUAAAAGUUUCUCAUAUUCAGGAAUUCUUUUAAAGAAAGUACUUGCAUUGAGUUUUAGCUGGUAUGUAUGUUGAUAAAUAUGGGAAUAUUCAUUUCCGAGUGGUAACCUGGAAUUUUUUUUUUUAAUAUGUAUUUAAUGGAUUGAAAGACUUUGAAGGAGAAAAAUACGUACAUUUUUGGUG